GAUGAACGCUGGCGGCGUGCCUAAUACAUGCCAGUCGAGCGAACAGACGAGGAGCUUGCUCCUCUGACGUUAGCGGCGGACGGGUGAGUAACACGUGGAUAACCUACCUAUAAGACUGGGAUAACUUCGGGAAACCGGAGCUAAUACCGGAUAAUAUAUUGAACCGCAUGGUUCAAUAGUGAAAGACGGUUUUGCUGUCACUUAUAGAUGGAUCCGCGCCGCAUUAGCUAGUUGGUAAGGUAACGGCUUACCAAGGCAACGAUGCGUAGCCGACCUGAGAGGGUGAUCGGCCACACUGGAACUGAGACACGGUCCAGACUCCUACGGGAGGCAGCAGUAGGGAAUCUUCCGCAAUGGGCGAAAGCUUGACGGAGCAACGCCGCGUGAGUGAUGAAGGUCUUCGGAUCGUAAAUCUCUGUUAUUAGGGAAGAACAAAUGUGUAAGUAACUAUGCACGUCUUGACGGUACCUAAUCAGAAAGCCACGGCUAACUACGUG
rnacentral:rRNA from 1 species